AUUGAACGCUGGCGGCAGGCUUAACACAUGCAAGUCGAGCGGUAACAGAGAGAAGCUUGCUUCUCUGCUGACGAGCGGCGGACGGGUGAGUAAUGCCUAGGAAUCUGCCUAGUAGUGGGGGAUAACUUGCCGAAAGGUAAGCUAAUACCGCAUACGUCCUACGGGAGAAAGGAGGGGACCUUCGGGCCUUUCGCUAUUAGAUGAGCCUAGGUCGGAUUAGUUAGUUGGUGAGGUAAUGGCUCACCAAGACCGCGAUCCGUAACUGGUCUGAGAGGAUGAUCAGUCACACUGGAACUGAGACACGGUCCAGACUCCUACGGGAGGCAGCAGUGGGGAAUAUUGGACAAUGGGGGGAACCCUGAUCCAGCCAUGCCGCGUGUGUGAAGAAGGUCUUAGGAUCGUAAAGCACUUUAAGUUGGGAGGAAGAGCAGUUAACUAAUAUUUGACUGUUUUGACGUUACCGACAGAAUAAGCACCAGCUAACUUCGUGCCAGCCGCCGCGGUAA
rnacentral:rRNA from 1 species